rnacentral:tRNA from 1 species
CGGUGAUUAGCGCAGCUUGGUAGCGCACUACUCUGGGGGAGUAGGGGUCAGAGGUUCAAAUCCUCUAUCACCGACCA